rnacentral:tRNA from 1 species
AAGGGUGUGGUGUUAAUGGUAGCACGUCGGUCUCCGAAGCCGAUAGUCUUGGUUCGAAUCCAAGCAUCCUUG